CCUACGGGAGGCAGCAGUGGGGAAUUUUGGACAAUGGGCGAAAGCCUGAUCCAGCAAUGCCGCGUGAGUGAAGAAGGCCUUCGGGUUGUAAAGCUCUUUUGUCAGGGAAGAAACGGUGAGAGCUAAUAUCUCUUGCUAAUGACGGUACCUGAAGAAUAAGCACCGGCUAACUACGUGCCAGCAGCCGCGGUAAUACGUAGGGUGCAAGCGUUAAUCGGAAUUACUGGGCGUAAAGCGUGCGCAGGCGGUUUUGUAAGUCUGUCGUGAAAUCCCCGGGCUCAACCUGGGAAUUGCGAUGGAGACUGCAAGGCUAGAAUCUGGCAGAGGGGGGUAGAAUUCCACGUGUAGCAGUGAAAUGCGUAGAGAUGUGGAGGAACACCGAUGGCGAAGGCAGCCCCCUGGGUCAAGAUUGACGCUCAUGCACGAAAGCGUGGGGAGCAAACAGGAUUAGAUACCCUGGUAGUCCACGCCCUAAACGAUGUCUACUAGUUGUCGGGUUUUAAUUAACUUGGUAACGCAGCUAACGCGUGAAGUAGACCGCCUGGGGAGUACGGUGCAAGAUUAAAACGUUAAGGAAUUGACGGCUGAGACGNGACGAGACGACGACGAGGAGGAGG
rnacentral:rRNA from 1 species